rnacentral:rRNA from 1 species
UCCCGGAGCCUCGAGUGGUGACCGCGUUUAUUGGGCCUAAAGCGUCCGUAGCCGAGUAAGUAAGUUUUCGGUGAAAUUGUCCAGCUCAACUGGACGAAUUGCCUUAAAUACUGCUUAUCUAGGGAUCGGGGAAGGUAGGGGGUAUGCCCAGGGGAGGGGUAAAAUCCUUUAAUCCUAGGUAGACCAUCAGUGGCGAAGGCGCCCUACUGAAACGAGUCCGACGGUGAGGAACGAAAGUUAGGGGA